AUAUCAAUAAGCGGAGGAAAAGAAACCAACAGGGAUUGCCCUAGUAACGGCGAGUGAAGCGGCAACAGCUCAAAUUUGAAAUCUGGCUCUUUCAGAGUCCGAGUUGUAAUUUGCAGAGGGCGCUUUGGCUUUGGCAGCGGUCCAAGUUCCUUGGAACAGGACGUCACAGAGGGUGAGAAUCCCGUACGUGGUCGCUAGCUAUUGCCGUGUAAAGCCCCUUCGACGAGUCGAGUUGUUUGGGAAUGCAGCUCUAAAUGGGAGGUAAAUUUCUUCUAAAGCUAAAUAUUGGCCAGAGACCGAUAGCGCACAAGUAGAGUGAUCGAAAGAUGAAAAGCACUUUGGAAAGAGAGUCAAACAGCACGUGAAAUUGUUGAAAGGGAAGCGCUUGCAGCCAGACUUGCUUGCAGUUGCUCAUCCGGGCUUUUGCCCGGUGCACUCUUCUGCAGGCAGGCCAGCAUCAGUUUGGGCGGUGGGAUAAAGGUCUCUGUCACGUACCUUCCUUCGGGUUGGCCUUAUAGGGGAGACGCCAUACCACCAGCCUGGACUGAGGUCCGCGCAUCUGCUAGGAUGCUGGCGUAAUGGCUGUAAGCGGC
rnacentral:rRNA from 1 species